UAAUACGGAGUGUGCAAGCGUUACUCGGAAUCACUGGGCAUAAAGCGCGCGUAGGCGGAUCGUGAAGUCGGUUGUGAAAUCCCUCAGCUCAACUGAGGAACUGCAGCCGAUACUGCCGAUCUCGAGGACGAAAGGGGAGAGUGGAACUUCUGGUGGAGCGGUGAAAUGCGUAGAUAUCAGAAGGAACGCCGGUGGCGAAAGCGACUCUCUGGUUCGUAUCUGACGCUGAGGCGCGAAAGCUUGGGUAGCAAACGGGAUUAGAUACCCCGGUAGUCCAAGCCGUAAACGAUGAGCACUAGGGAGGGGAGGCUCCGAUGCCUUCCCUCCUGGAGCUAAUGUAUUAAGUGCUCCGCCUGGGGAGUACAGUCGCAAGGCCG
rnacentral:rRNA from 1 species